AACGAACGCUGGCGGCAUGCCUAACACAUGCAAGUCGAACGAAGGCUUCGGCCUUAGUGGCGCACGGGUGAGUAACGCGUGGGAAACUGCCUAUUGGUGGGGAAUAACGACGGGAAACUGUCGCUAAUACCGCAUAAGCCCUUCGGGGGAAAGAUUUAUCGCCGAUAGAUGUGCCCGCGUCCGAUUGGCUAGUUGGUGAGGUAAUGGCUCACCAAGGCGACGAUCGGUAGCGAGUCUGAGAGGAUGAUCAGCCACACUGGGACUUAGACACGGCCCGGACUCCUACGGGAGGCGGCAGUGGGGAAUAUUGGACAAUGGUCGAAAGCCUGAUCCAGCAAUGCCGCGUGAGUGAUGAAGGCCUUAGGGUUGUAAAGCUCUUUCGGGUGGGACGAUGAUGACGGUACCACCAGAAGAAGCCCCGGCUAACUUCGUGCCAGCAGCCGCCGUAA
rnacentral:rRNA from 1 species